GUUUUCAUCAUUAGCGUGAACAUUAUCUCCGGAGUUACAUCGUUGACUUGCUACUCAUCACCACUACUAUUAUUAUCGUUAUAAUCACUAGUAAACUGAGUCAAGUGAUGUUUGUCUGAACAGGACAAAGUGUUAAAAAAACAUGGUAAAUACAUUUUGGAGAAUUUUAAACAAAGAUUGGCAAAAACACACCAGUUGUGUUCGUGCGUUUUAUUGUGGUCGUGCAUAGUUCGUUCUUAUGUGACAGAUAGCAGCAUGUUCUAGUUGAUGGAAACAAGACACUUGCAGCUUGGUUAUGUCAAUAGCUUGUCGGACGGUUUGAUAAAGAUGAGAAUCACUAAAGCUCAGAAAAUUCAAUUGUAGCAGAUUGACAGUUUAUUGGGAGGAAAGAGGGGUGAGGAAGAGACAAAAGGCUUGAAAGACAGGCGUAUGUGUCGGAGAUGUAUGUGCGACAGACCUUAAGUGACUGUCAAACAGUUAUCCCUAAUCAAAUUCAUUUACCUACCUGCCAAAGAAUUCAUAUCAUCCAAUAGAGUAAUCCUUCAGCGAUGACGAUGUAUACGACGGCGAAGAAAAAGAAAGAGAAACCACUACAACAGCAACAACAUCAACAGGAACCAUUGCAAAUCAAGCCAGCCGUUAGAGUCUGUUCUUCGUAUAUGAUCGAGUUAACUACUCUAUACGAUUUAUCUAUCUCUCUCGCUUUUACUCAAUCAUUCAGUCGCUCUCUCACUCACCCAGUCUCCCUCACACUCAACAACCCCUUCUCUCUCUCUUUAGCUAGUUGGCAUUUCGUUGUUAUUGUAGUUAUUGAUGUUAGUUUAGCUAUCAACACUGAUGUUAUUAUUUUGGUGUGAUUUUUGUUUUGAUAGUGACAUCUCUUUCAAUAAUUGCAACAAUAAUAAUAGUGCAUUCUUAAAUUUUGAAGACUAUUUAACUCUUUCCUUUCUCUCGAUAUAUUUUUUUAUUUUUAUUUUCGCUUUUUGGGGUGAAGAUAAUAGAGAAUAUGAAGCUCUCUCUCUCUUUCUCUCUCUCCUUACCCACAAACAUAAAAAGAGAGAUAGAAAACGAAAGUUAAGUGAAGAGUAUUAGUUCUCUUAUGACUAAAUUGCAGAGGCUGUUCAAUCUUACUAUGGGUGGGUUGUAGGUUGUGGAUACAUAUACACUCCUCACAUUUUGAUCUGUCUCACACUUUGCUUCUUUAUUCAUCACUUCUAUCACUAAUCAUCUUUCCUAUCUUUAAUCUGAUUGAUUUUUUUUUUAAAUGUAUUUUACUCUCUCUCUCUCUCUCUCUGACCCCCUUUAUUGUUCUUUCCCUUUAACUUCUCUAUUAAUCUUAUUCUUUUUCUUCGUAAUUGAAGUGCUCUUUUCUAUUGUGUUCUGUAAUUCUUCUUUCAUUUCUCUUUCCUUUUUGUCUCUCAUGUUCAUAUUUCUCUUUCGGUGUAUCCUCUCUUUAAUUUAGCUUCUUUUCUUUCUUUAUCUUACUCUCAUUUCUCUUGGGUUUUUUUCUUUCUCUUUCUCUAACAUACGUCUCUUUUCGGCCAUUCUAUCUCUCUCUCUCUUUCUCUCUCCACUUUAUUCUUCUAUUAACUCGUUAUCACUUUUUAUCAUCAUUUCCCUUGCCCUCUUUCAUCACUCCCUCUCUGUCAGUAUUUCUAUCUUUCUUUCUCUUCCCAAUUACUUCCUCCCCUUUGUUUCUCCUGCCUUCUUAUUUCCAUUCGCUCAUUACUUACGUUAUCAUUCUUUCGCUGGCAGUUAUUUCAUUUCAUUUUUUAAAAUCUAAUGUUUCGCUGCAUCUCUUAUUUCUACUUUCAAUAUUGGGUCUCUCAGUUUUGUUUUUCAGUUUUCGUGUCCCAUUUAGUUGGGGUUUUUUUCUUCCUCUUUUAUUGACUUGUGCUGUUUUCUUCUUUCACUCUCAUUUCUGUUUCUUUUAUUCUUUCUUUCUCGUCUCAUUUUCACUUCUCACUUCACUGAAUUUUCUCCCUCCUACAUUUCGGAGACCUAAGCUUCAAUGAUUCCUGUUUAACUAUUAUGAUCCAAUCCUCAAAAUUCUCAUUCAGCUGUUUUCUUUCUUAAAGACCAUUUACUUAUCUGUCAAUGUUUCUUUUCAUCUGAUCCAUUUCAAUCAAGCGACCCUGUAUCUUGUCUUUUCUUACACUGCUUCUUCCUUUACCAUCAUCAUCAUCAUCAUCAUAUCACCACGACUAUCUAUCUAUCUAUCUAUCUAUCUAUCUAUCUAUCUAUCUAUCUAUCUAUCUAUCUAUAUAUCUGUCUAUCUAUCUAUCUAAUCUAUCUAUCUAUCUAUCUUGUGUGUGCCUGUGUUAUUGUCAUUAUAAUUUCUUCCUUGAUUUAUUGUUUCUUUUUCUUUCAUUCCUUAGAUCCAUUCUCCUUUUUCGCUCUUUCUCUAUUCUAUUCUUUGUUAUACAUUUCUGUUUCCUCGACUUUUUCUCCUUUUGUAUCUCCUUUUCUCAGUGUAAUCAUCCUUCCUUCUCUGUCUCUCCUGUACAUAUUGUUAUAAUUAGUAUCUCAUUAUGUAUAUACUUGAUUGUGUGUGUAUGCGUAUGUGCGUGUUUACGUUUUGCGAUUUUAGUUCUUUUUUCCUUUCCAUAAUGGUAUUCAUUUCAUUUAUUUAUUUAUUAUUAUUAUUUUUUUUUCAUUUCCUUUCCUAAUAUACCACUUAUAUCCAGUUGCAUUCAUUCAACAAGUCAAAUUGAAGAGAAGCUUCUCGCAGGACUCAACCUUGAUCAAAGUCCGUAUUGUUUCAAUUCGCUGUUAAUUCCUCUUUGCCUUGAAGGUUAAUAUGAAGUUCUUGCUUCCUACAUCGAAUGGAACUUGAUUUCCUGGCCUCAACUUUCAUAAGCUUUCAAUUCUUCGGAGAUGGUAAAUAAUAAUCCUAGGUUUUUGUAGAACUGUGAUUAAGCCAUGUAAAUCAAACAUGAAUAAUGACAACGCCCACCACAUCCAUCGAAACAGAAAGGAAUGGAUAGAUGGAUGGAUGGAAUGAAUGGCAAAAAGAAAGAGAUAAGUUGACAGAACCGUGAAAGAACAUUACGGCGUAGCGGAGUGACAAAUGUAGUGAGUCCUUCCUUGUGUGAGUGGCCUCCUUAACCCUCUCAUGGAGGUAACCCUAUCAGAAAUAGAUGAAUAAGACACAUGGACAGGCGUAGAAACAAUGAAACAAACGGAUAGAUAGACAAUCAUAGGAAUGCGAGAGAUGUAAAGUAAAAGGUGAGAGAAAGAAUGACUGCAUCAGUGAAUGCUUAUAUAUAAAUAUUAAUGUGGGAAUUUGGGUUGACAAAAUCGAUAGCGCAUCAGACAAAAUAACAUGUGGCAUUUAGUUGCGACCAUUUAUUAUGUUCUGAGUUCAAAUUACACCAAGGUCAACUUUUAUUUUCAUUCCUCUUGGAAGUAAAUGAUAAAAUAUGUUUUUGUCAAGUACUGAGGUCAAUUUAUAUUUCAAUAAUGCGUACCAUAUUCUUUAUCUCUUACUCUUUUCAGUCAUUGGACUGCGGCCAUGCUGGGACACCACCUUAAAGGGUUUAGUCGAACGAGUCGACCCCAGUACUUUUUUUUUUUGAAUUUGGUACUCAUGCUAUCAUCUCUUUUGUCGAACCGCUAAAUUAGAGACGUAAACAAACCAACACCGGUUGUCGAGCACACACACACAAACACACGAUGGACUCCCACACGGUUUCUGUCUACCACAUUCAAUGAUGAGGCGUUGGUCGACCUGGGACUAUAGAAGAAAACACUUGCUCAAGGUACUGUGCAGUAGAACAGAACCAGAAAUCUGGAAAGAAAGGGAAAUAUAGAGAUGAAAAUGAAUUCUGGCUGCAAAAUUUAAACUCAGAACUGAGGGAAUGGAACUGGCCACCAAAGAACAUUUUGUCAUUCCAUCACUGAUACUAAGUUCUGAUAUUCCUUAGAAAGUAUCUUGCUCAGGUUUGAAAGGAACUUUUUAAGUUCAGAUCUAUGUGAAUCUUCCUCACAGGGCAGUGGAGACAACAAGGUAAAGUUGACAAACUGGAUGCUUUACUGUUCUGAGAUCAACUUAGCUGAACCAUCUUUACUUGUCUUCUCUUUCUAGUAUGAAUAAAAU
rnacentral:lncRNA from 1 species